AACAGCGUAAUCUUUUUAGAGAGUUCUUAUCGAAAUAAAGGGUUGCGACCUCGAUGUUG
rnacentral:tRNA from 1 species